GUGUGUAUGUGUGUGUGUGUGUGUGUGUCAUUUAAACUCAAGAACAUGAAUGGAGGCUGUUAUAUCCGUGCAAACGACCUGAAGUACAACCACACCGACCUCACCUGGCAGAACCUGGAGCAGACCUGCAGGUGUGUGUGGUCAUCGCUUCGUUAAACUCUACAGAGCAUUUAAACUCAAGAACAUGAGUGGACGCUGGUAUAUCCGUGCAAACGACCUGAAGUACAACCACACCGACCUCACCUGGCAGAACCUGGAGCAGACCUGCAGUCAAGCACGGUCCUAAUUGAGCGCUCCACCCCACCAUCGUCUCCAUCCUCUGUGGAAGAGGUA